UCUAACUCAAAUCUUAGAUAUCAACAGAUUAACCAAAAUCGAUUACAUAGACUGGCUCACAAAUUUAAAAAUUAUUUUUAAUUUAGAAAAUUAAAUAAUAUUCUCUAUCAAGUUAUUCUAUUAUUAACAACUUAUCCAACUCAUAGUCAACGAGUUAUACUUGAUGAGUGGAUGGAUAAUGAUAAUUAAGAUAGGUGCUAUGCAUGAGCACAUGUUCACUUCCUACGACACGUUGAAUCAUCUGCAAGUAUUGUAAGGUGAUCAGAGUCACACAGUGCAUAUGAUACAUGAUGGACAGUCAAUCUAUGAUUGUUAUUUGAUAAUGAUUAAGGAUA
rnacentral:lncRNA from 1 species